UACGGGGGGGGCAAGCGUUGUUCGGAAUUACUGGGCGUAAAGGCUCGUAGGCGGCCAACUAAGUCGGAUGUGAAAUCCCCAGGCUUAACCUGGGAACUGCAUCCGAUACUGGAUGGCUUGAAUCCGGGAGAGGGAUGCAGAAUUCCAGGUGUAGCGGUGAAAUGCGUAGAUAUCUGGAGGAAUACCGGUGGCGAAGGCGGCAUCCUGGACCGGCAUUGACGCUGAGUGAGCGAAAGCCAGGGAGCAAACGGG
rnacentral:rRNA from 1 species